AUACCAGCCCCGCGAGCGGUCGGGAUGCUUAUUGGGCCUAAAGCGCCCGUAGCCGGCCCGGCAAGUCCCCCCCUAAAGCCCCGGGCUCAACCCGGGGAGUGGGGGGGAUACUGCCGGGCUAGGGGGCGGGAGAGGCCGAGGGUACUCCCGGGGUAGGGGCGAAAUCCGAUAAUCCCGGGAGGACCACCAGUGGCGAAGGCGCUCGGCUGGAACGCGCCCGACGGUGAGGGGCGAAAGCCGGGGGAGCAAACCGGAUUAGAAACCCCAGUAGUCC
rnacentral:rRNA from 1 species